rnacentral:tRNA from 1 species
AGGGCUGUUGCUCAGUGGCAGAGCAUUUGCUUUCCAUGCAGAAGGUCCCAAGUCCAAUCUCUGGCAUUUCCA